rnacentral:rRNA from 1 species
UACGGAAGGUCCAGGCGUUAUCCGGAUUUAUUGGGUUUAAAGGGAGCGUAGGCCGUCUGUUAAGCGUGUUGUGAAAUGUAGAUGCUCAACAUCUGAAUUGCAGCGCGAACUGGCAGACUUGAGUGUGCGCAACGUAGGCGGAAUUCGUGGUGUAGCGGUGAAAUGCUUAGAUAUCACGAAGAACUCCGAUUGCGAAGGCAGCUUACGGGAGCACAACUGACGCUGAAGCUCGAAAGUGCGGGUAUCGAACAGGAUUAGAUACCCUGGUAGUCCGCACGGUAAACGAUGGAUGCCCGCUGUUGACCCACCUGGGCCAGCGGCCAAGCGAAAGCAUUAAGCAUCCCACCUGGGGAGUACGCCGGCAACGGUGAAACUCAAAGGAAUUGACGGGGGCCCGCACAAGCGGAGGAACAUGUGGUUUAAUUCGAUGAUACGCGAGGAACCUUACCCGGGCUUGAAUUGCAGAGGAAAGAUCCAGAGAUGGUGAUGCCCUUCGGGGCCUCUGUGAAGGUGCUGCAUGGUUGUCGUCAGCUCGUGCCGUGAGGUGUCGGCUUAAGUGCCAUAACGAGCGCAACCCCUUCCUUUAGUUGCCAUCAGGUCAUGCUGGGCACUCUGGAGAUACUGCCACCGUAAGGUGUGAGGAAGGUGGGGAUGACGUCAAAUCAGCACGGCCCUUACGUCCGGGGCUACACACGUGUUACAAUGGCCGGUACAGAGAGAAGGUUGCUUGCAAAAGUAAUCAAAUCCUUAAAACCGGUCCCAGUUCGGACUGGGGUCUGCAACCCGACCCCACGAAGCUGGAUUCGCUAGUAAUCGCGCAUCAGCCAUGGCGCGGUGAAUACGUUCCCGGGCCU